UUCCUGCUGGCUCAGAUGGUAAAGAAUCUGCUUGCAAUGCAGGAGACCCAGGUUCGAUCCCUGGGUUGGGAA
rnacentral:tRNA from 1 species